AAUGGACGAAAGUCUGACGGAGCGACGCCGCGUGGAUGAAGAAGGCCGAAAGGUUGUAAAAUCCUUUUGUCGAUGAAGAAUAAGCAUGGGAGGGAAUGCCCGUGUGAUGACGUUAGUCGGCGAAUAAGCCCCGGCUAAUUACGUGCCAGCAGCCGCGGUAACACGUAAGGGGCGAGCGUUGUUCGGAAUUAUUGGGCGUAAAGGGCGCGUAGGCGGUCUUGUAAGCCCGGCGUGAAAACCUGGAGCUCAACUCCGGGCCUGCGCUGGGAACUGCGGGACUAGAGUCAUGGAAGGGAAGUUGGAAUUCCAGGUGUAGGGGUGAAAUCUGUAGAUAUCUGGAAGAACACCGGUGGCGAAGGCGGCUCUCUGGACCGAUACUGACGCUGAGACGCGAAAGCGUGGGUAGCAAA
rnacentral:rRNA from 1 species